GGUUUGUGCUCACCCCUACAAAUUAGACCAUUAGAGGGUUUUACAUUUGGGAGGUGGUUGGAGGAGAGAGGAGAGAGGGGAGGUGAUUCCACCACAUCUGACAAGCACAAGGUGAGAUAAUUUUUUAUUUUAUUUUUAGUUUCUCUCUCAUUUUUUAUUUUUGUUUUCCGUUUAUACUUUUUCUUUUUUCACUUUUCUUCUUUUUUUCACUUCUCUCUUCUGCUUCUUUUUUUAUUAUUUUUAAAAAAGUAUUUAUUUUUAUUGGUUUCAAUUUAGGAUAUUUAUUUUUAAAACUGAAAUUUGCUUUUGUAUUAAAUAAUUUGCCUUAAAUAAACAAA
rnacentral:lncRNA from 1 species